rnacentral:rRNA from 1 species
AUACGGAGGGUGCAAGCGUUAUCCGGAAUCAUUGGGUUUAAAGGGUCCGCAGGCGGUCAAUUAAGUCAGAGGUGAAAUCCCGUCGCUCAACGACGGAACUGCCUUUGAUACUGGUUGACUUGAGUUAUACGGAAGUAGAUAGAAUGCGUAGUGUAGCGGUGAAAUGCAUAGAUAUUACACAGAAUACCGAUUGCGAAGGCAGUCUACUACGUAUAUACUGACGCUCAUGGACGAAAGCGUGGGGAGCGAACAGGAUUAGAAACCCGAGUAGUCC